GACAGAGGGUGCAAACGUUGUUCGGAAUUACUGGGCGUAAAGCGUGUGUAGGCGGCUACAUAAGUCGGAUGUGAAAGCCCCGGGCUCAACCCGGGAAGUGCACUCGAUACUGCGUAGCUUGAGUCUCGGAGAGGUUGGUGGAAUUCUCGGUGUAGAGGUGAAAUUCGUAGAUAUCGAGAGGAACACCGGUGGCGAAGGCGGCGAUCUGGGUAGAUACUGACGCUGAGGUGCGAAAGCGUGGGGAGCAAACAGG
rnacentral:rRNA from 1 species